UAAAAGAAAAUAAAUAGAAUUAGGAAACUUACUUUUUUCUUUUGAUUAGGUCAUUAUGGGAGAAUUUGGAUAAAGAGGGAAUGGAAGAGGGGAAGAGAAUUAUGCUCAUUCAACCCCACGGCUAGAGAGAGAGAGAGAGAGAGGCGUGAAAGAGAGAGAAGGAGGAGAAGAAAGGAAGAAGAAGAAGAAGAGGUCAAGCUUGGGGUAUUUAAGAGAGGUUGCUUUUUGGGUGUUGGUUCUUGUGUUCUCUCAAGGAAGGCUCGUUGAGAAGUUCUCGUUUUACUUUGCUUGGACAUGAGGUAAGGAAGUUAGA